rnacentral:rRNA from 1 species
AGAGUUUGAUCCUGGCUCAGGACGAACGCUGGCGGCGUGCUUAACACAUGCAAGUCAGGGAGAAAGGAGUAGCAAUACUCUGAGUAAACCGGCGAACGGGUGAGUAAUACGUAGGCAACUUACCUUGUGAACGGGGAUAACCCCGCGAAAGCGGGGCUAAUACCCGAUGAAGUUCAGUUACAGCAUUGUAGCGGAAUGAAAGAUCCCAAAAGGAUGUCACAAGAUGGGCCUGCGUCCCAUUAGAUAGUUGGCGGGGUAAUGGCCCACCAAGUCGACGAUGGGUAGCUGGUCUGAGAGGACGAUCAGCCACACUGGAACUGAGACACGGUCCAGACUUCUACGGAAGGCAGCAGUGAGGAAUAUUGCUCAAUGGGCGAAAGCCUGAAGCAGCGACGCCGCGUGAGGGAUGAAAUCCGUUAGGAUGUAAACCUCUUUUGCAGGGGAUGAAUGUCCCGUUUUACGGGAUUGACCGUACUCUGCGAAUAAGCACCGGCCAACUACGUGCCAGCAGCCGCGGUAAUACGUAGGGUGCAAGCGUUGUCCGGAAUUACUGGGUGUAAAGGGUCCGCAGGCGGGUAAGCAAGUCGGUGGUGAAAUCCUGCAGCUCAACUGCAGAACUGCCUCCGAUACUGUUUAUCUUGAGUACGAGAGAGGAUGAUGGAAUUCAUGGUGUAGCGGUGAAAUGCGUAGAGAUCAUGAAGAACACCGGUUGCGAAGGCGAUCAUCUGGCUCGUUACUGACGCUCAGGGACGAAAGCGUGGGGAGCAAACAGGAUUAGAUACCCUGGUAGUCC